AGGUGUUUAAAGAUGCCAUUCAGAUGGCUCUGUCCUACAAGAGGAACUCCAACGACUUUAUGGAUGAAGUCAUGAGGGAGCUAGAGAAUUUUGAUUUAGACAGUAAAGAAGAAUCAUCUGAUAAAGAUGAGGAGACGCAAGAGGGAAAACCGGACUCGGCGUGAUCAUAUCACAUUCUCCUCCGCUGCUCCUGCACUUGCACUGAUGAGUUCCUCAGAUCAUGGCUGUCCUCCCACCGUCCUGAGCAGCAACUCUACCUCACACUACUUUGCUCAUGAAUUAAAUUAUGAUUCUGUGAAUGUACAGCUGAUUGACCUGAUAAUAGAAUCACAAUGCACUUUGAACUCCGAUUUGAUACAAAUUGUGCUGCGUGCAGAUUUAGUAAAAAAAAACUUUUAGCACUCUUAAGAGACUUGCGAUUUGUGCCGAAUGUAACAUGAAAUAUUUUUCAAAA